UACGUAGGUGGCAAGCGUUGUCCGGAAUUACUGGGUGUAAAGCGCGUGUAGGCGGGAGGCCAAGUCUGCUGUGAAAUCGCUCGGCUCAACUGGGCGGGGUCGGUGGAAACUGGUCACCUGGAGGACGGUAGAGGCGAGUGGAAUUCCCGGUGUAGUGGUGAAAUGCGUAGAUAUUGGAAAGACCACCGAUGGCGAAGGCACUCUACUGGGCCAUUACUGACACUGAGAGACGAAAGCUAGGGGAGCAAAUGGG
rnacentral:rRNA from 1 species